UCUUAUGUACAUGCCUACAAUAUAGCUUUAAUGCACCGAAUCCGAUUAAAACUCCAUAGUUAAUCAUGUUGGGGCUAGAGUAGUACUGAGAUGGGUGAUCGCCCAGGAAGUCCUAGUAUUUUACAUGCC
rfam:Picea glauca, whole genome shotgun sequence.